UCAGCUAAAAGGAGGAGAAAAAGGAGAAAGAAGAGAGAGGAGAGAGAGGGGUUGAAGGUAGUUGAAGGGGAUGGAAAUCUCAGGAUAUGUGAGAAAAAAGAACGAUGUGUCUACUAUGAAUGUGUGCAGGAGGGCAUGGACAGGACAAAGGGGUUCAUGCGGGUAUCUCUCCAACCACCCCUCUGUUCCCGGCAGAUCCCAAACAAACACAGAGGGUUCAUGGAUCAUGAUUGAUUGAUUUAUUAGUGGAUCGCAAACUCCAUUCUUGAUAUUAACUGAUAAAUCAAUACCUCAAGCACUUAUGUUCUGUUAUCAAAAAUCUCAAUUUUCUCUGAAAAGCAGCGACAAAAACCUGAUCAAAAAUGUCUCGAAAACUUUCCGGCUUAAAUUCUUUUUUUAAGCAUUUUGCCGAAAAACAAAAUAUCUGAAGAGUGGAGGAAAGAUUGAAGGUGUCAAAAUCAAUGGCGUAGUACGAAAAAUAGGGCGGGGAUGUACCUAAUUUUCCAUAAGUUUAUAGUCGCUCCAUAAUUGUUUUUUUCACCAAUUGGUGAAAAAGAACAAAAUGUUAUUAGUAUGGUUGCCUAUUUACAAGGUGACGAAAGCAUAUCUUACGAGGAUACCAAUUAAUGGUCAUUGCUGAAAUAAAUAAAAAAGGUUAUUGUCCAUA